GACGAACGCUGGCGGCGUGCUUAACACAUGCAAGUCGAACGGAAAGGCCCUGCUUUUGUGGUGUGCUCGAGUGGCGAACGGGUGAGUAACACGUGAGUAACCUGCCCUUGACUUUGGGAUAACUUCAGGAAACUGGGGCUACUACCGGAUAGGAUCUCCUGCUGCAUGGUGGGGGUUGGAACGUUUCGGCGGUUGGGGAUGGACUCGCGGCUUAUCAGCUUGUUGGUGGGGUAGUGGCUUACCAAGGCUUUGACGGGUAGCCGGCCUGAGAGGGUGACCGGCCACAUUGGGACUGAGAUACGGCCCAGACUCCAACGGGAGGCAGCAGUGGGGAAUAUUGCACAAUGGGCGGAAGCCUGAUGCAGCAACGCCGCGUGCGGGAUGACGGCCUUCGGGUUGUAAACCGCUUUCGCCUGUGACGAAGCGUGAGUGACGGUAAUGGGUAAAGAAGCACCGGCUAACUACGUG
rnacentral:rRNA from 1 species